UUGUGAUUGUUUUGAAACGGAACGGGUUUUACUGUCAAAGAUUCUUAAAAGCGAUACUGCGAUUCGAUUCUUCUUAAAGUAAUGCGAAACGAACGAGUGCAUGGUCAGUGAGAAGUGUAUAGAAAUGAGUGAGGAAAGAAAUAAAAUGUAGAAGUGUGUAUGUGCUUUGCCGAAAAGAAAAAUAAACAAAACCAAAUUUAAGGAAGUCAAGGAGAUUUUGUGUGUGAGAAAAAUUAAGAAAAAAAUUUAAAAAAAAAUAUUCAAAUGAAAAAAAGCUUAGUGGGUGUUUUCGACAAAUAUUGCGAGCUACAAAAAAUCUCAAUUGGCUUUACUUGAUUAAUUCUCAAACCUAUAGCAACAUAAAGAAGCUAUAAAAAAAAUACCAAAAGUUGUUUGCCGAAGUUUGUUGCCGCUUAAGUUAAAGCAAGAGUGCGUUUUUAUAGCAAAUCCUUGCCCACGAAAUGAGCGUUCAAACAUUGAAAAUAUAUGGCCGCGCAGCAUAUUGUCAAGUGAUUUAUGAGCCUUAAAAAGGAUAUUCGUUUACGGCAUUUUUUUGUUAAUACUCCAACCGGUGGUUCUGUCGGCCGAUUUGUCUGCACCUACACACGUGCUUAUGUGGCCAUUUGAGAGUGUGUGCUUGUGUGUGUGCGUGUGUGUGAGCUAUUCAAUGAAUGUGUGAAACUGAAUCUAUAAAAAGAUUUUGUUGACUUUUUUUUGCUGUGUGGUGCUGGGCCUUUAAAUAUUCAUUCAAAAAUUGUGAAGGAAAAAAAGGCCAUAUGUUAAUUAAAUAUAAUACCGGAGCCAUGAAAUAUUAAUUACUUUAACAUCAAAUUGGAUAACGAAACAAAGUUACAUCGAAAUUUAAACUUCAACAGAACGACA
rnacentral:sRNA from 1 species